rnacentral:rRNA from 1 species
UACGGAGGGUGCGAGCGUUGUCCGGAAUCACUGGGCGUAAAGGGCGCGUAGGCGGCCUGAUAAGUAGGGGGUGAAAUCCUGCGGCUUAACCGCAGGGCUGCCUUCUAAACUGUCAGGCUCGAGCACAGUAGAGGCAGGUGGAAUUCCCGGUGUAGCGGUGGAAUGCGUAGAGAUCGGGAAGAACAUCAGUGGCGAAGGCGGCCUGCUGGGCUGUUGCUGACGCUGAGGCGCG